UAGUCAGUCCUGAAGGGGUGUGCAGCUGUCACUAGGUUUACAUCCUCCGUCUUAACAUUGCCCACCCAAAACUGUGCCAGGUCUCAGCUAACUCCUGUCCGAGAACACUUCUCCCCAGUUGUGGCUAAUUCCUCCCUAAGUAAGAGUCAGGCUCUGAGAGAGAUGUGCCCUCGGGAGCAAUCACUUCCAAUGAGACCCGACAGUUAGUUAUUGGAUUACACGUGCAGGGAAAUGUAGUCCGACCAGGGAUAGGAGCUGGGAGAGGGAGGAGGAGAGCAGGAGGCCGGAGCUGGCGGGGCCUCCCAAGGGCUGAAGGGGGAGGCCCAGAAAGAAGGUGCUGCAGACCAGCGGACCAAACAGGAGGUAGAGCUGGGCACCCCGCUGCGUCUAGGCUGAAAGGACCGAGGUGCACGGGUGUGCCUGCUGGGGAGCCUGGGGAGUUGCAGGAGGCAGGAGAAAGGGAGGUUGUGCAGUAAUCAGGAGGAAGACACCAGGCAAAGAGCCUUCACAGCCGCACAGCCUAGGCAGGCCCCCUGGGGCGGCAGGAGCCCUGUGUGCCCCUGGAGUGCCGGGGGACUGCUCCUGGCUGAGUGUGCUGGUGGGGCUGUAGAUGCAGAGAGGGCGGGUGGGGAGGGGAGGGGUAUGUGGGAGGGGGGUGGGCCGGGGCUGGCCCCAGACAGUGACCUGAGGUUGAGUGGAAGCAGGCUUUUUCCAUCAAACCCUGCCUGGAUACCACACACAGAGACCGAGUGUCAGUUUACUGCCCUGAGCCGGCUCCUUCUCCCUAAGCUCCACAGUAAUUAGACAAAGAAAACCUAAAUUAGCUGAACAGGCGUCGACAGCUUCCUCCAGAGCACCCCUGGUACCUACAUGGGAAUGUGUCCGAAAAUGGCUUGAUUGUAGCCGAGAGUCAGCUAAGAAAACACCGCCAAACCGAACUCAGUUUACCACUCAUUUCCAAUAGAAAAAAGAAACAAGUCGCUCUUUUCCGGGUGGGAUGUUUUGAUUGGGUUGGGGUAGGGCUUCGCAGUUGUUUCCACUUUCUAAGAAUUUCUGACUGACUGCUGAGCGUUUUUGGGGGGUGCGUCCCCAUAUAUUUCAUGGUAUUUUUUUCUCUUGCCCUCAUUUGUCAUUUUGUGUGGAAUAACUUAAAAAUACAUAACUAAAUAUGAAAGUAAAUAUAAUGUGUUCACUAAACCAAUGCUCUAAGUGCCUAAAAUAUAAUUAUUUUCAUAAAAUAGAAGCUGGAGUGGGGAGGACAGAUAGGAUCUUAAAGGAGCUCUACUGACAUAGAGUUCAGUGUGUGUGUGUGUGUGUGUGUGUGUGUGUGUGUGCUUUAAAUGGAAAGAGCCCAGGGGAGAAGCUUGUGGGGGAAAAGGACAAUUAUCUCAUUUGUAGGUGGGGGCGGUGGGCAACGGGCUUUGGAAACAUUCAGUACUCAUUGUCACUUAGCCAUGGACUCUCUCUGAUUCUCUGUGCCUGAAAAUUAUAUGUAUUUGGAUCUCAGGGAAUACAGAUCCAACUUGUUAAGAGCAGGCCUUAAAAGGUUUUAGGACCCGGAGACUGAAGAAUAAAAGGCGCUAACCUUAAAAUCCAGGCAGGACCAGUGAUAACCUUCUAUACUAGUAGCUCCCAGUUUUGGGGUUAUGGGGUCAUCCUCUGAGAAUACGAUGGAAGCUAUGGAGCCAGUUUCCAGAAAAAUACUUCCAACUUGCCUGAGAUUUUAGGAAGUCCACAGGUACUCAUUAAAACAAACAAGGAAACAAGCAAAAAACCCCAGAUUCUUUUAGCUUCUACCAAUUCAGCUGGUUAAAUUAUGAGGGAUUUUUUUAAAAGGCUCCUUUCUCCAUCCAAGCAACAGCAGUAUCCAUUUUACCUAAACUCUAAACUUGCAAGAAAUCCCACUUAGAGUGUGGUGAGUGUUAUGAGGGCCGGCCAGGUCGUGGGAAGGCAGUGGACAUUGGAGAGCAGUUAGGGCCAGGAGGCGGUCAGCUGACUG
rnacentral:lncRNA from 1 species